GAUCCUGCGGCGUGCUAAUACAUGCAAGUAGAACGUUAAAGCUUGGUGCUUGCCCGACGGAUGAGUUGCGAACGGGUAGUAACGCGUAGGUACCCUGCCUCUUAGCGGGGGAUAACUAUUGGAACGAUAGCUAAUCCGCAUAAAAGUCGAUAUCGCAUGAUAUUGAUUUGAAAGGUGCAAUUGCAUCACUAAGAGAUGGACCUGCGUUGUAUUAGCUAGUUGGUAGGUAACGGCUCACCAAGGCGACGAUACAUAGCCGACCUGAGAGGGUGAUCGGCCACACUGGGACUGAGACACGGCCCAGACUCCUACGGGAGGCAGCAGUAGGGAAUCUUCGGCAAUGGGGGCAACCCUGACCGAGCAACGCCGCGUGAGUGAAGAAGGUUUUCGGAUCGUAAAGCUCUGUUGUAAGAGAAGAACGAGUGUGAGAGUGGAAAGUUCACACUGUGACGGUAACUUACCAGAAAGGGACGGCUAAAC
rnacentral:rRNA from 1 species